GUGAAGAGAACUGGUUUCUCUUCCCGAGGACUGGGGUUGGUUUGAUUCUGGCACUCAUACGGCAGCUUACAACCAUCUGUAACUGCACCCUCUCUGACCUCCUCAGGCACUGGGCACGCACACGGUGGACAGACAUACAGCCCACCAUGACAGAAGGGCCUGCUGAAAACCGCUGCAAGCCAACCUGAACUCCUCGUAGGAAGGCACUCUUUGUUCGACGGCCCGUAACUUGGCAGCAUUCUCUCUUUUAUACUUCUCGUCAGCAGCAAGUGCAGCCUGCAGCUCUUUCUCCAAAGUCUUGAAGUUGAUUGCAUCAUUCUUUUCCAUGGCUAAGGCCUGGGAAGGCAAGAGGAAUGAGCAUCAGCAGAGGUUCAGUAUCAGGAUCAAAUGGAAUUGCAUGAUGAAGACGUAUUCAAGGCUUCUCACGGAAAACAGAACAGAAAGCUUCCA